CUAAUAACUUCAACGGUGCGCUAACCAGUAACCCCACCAACCUUUGAAAAAUCAAAGUCCUUCUUCAACUCGGUCCUCUUCUUUUAAUCCCCCAUACAACUACCCGCUUCGAAAUCACAUUCUCUCUCUCUCUCUCUCUCUCUGGUAAUCAUGAAAAGCCCUCAGCCCUGCUACGGUCAGCGGAACGCUAGGCUCGGCACACGGUCAACCCCCGAACGAUUCCAUUACUCACCGGGCCCCCCAUACUCUGAUGCAUCGACCGUCAGAAAGCGGAACCCCGUGGCGGGCGCUGCAAAAUCGGUGGUCGGAUUGUUUAUGACAUGCUUUAAUCCGACCGAGACGAUCAACUCCACGAAUUUCGGAGAAUCUGAAGAGUUCAAACCUCCCUCUGUCGCAUCCGAUGCAACGGGGUCGAACAGAGACAGAAGACGAUCUUCAGGUCGAGGUGUCUAUGGCAGUCCACAGAAUUCGACUCAUGAAAGAGAGCCUGGCAGUGUAAAAUUCACCAUGGAGGAAAUCUACAAAGCUACAAGGAACUUUUCCCCAUCCUUAAAGAUUGGACAAGGUGGCUUUGGUACUGUAUACAAGGGGAGACUAGAAAAUGGAACUCUUGUUGCAAUCAAACGUGCAAAGAAGAGCUUGUACGAUAAACAUUUAGGUGCAGAAUUUCAAAGUGAGGUUCGGACGCUGGCACAAGUGGAGCACUUGAGUCUAGUAAAGUUCUAUGGAUUUUUGCAACAAGAUGAAGAAAGAAUUAUUGUUGUGGAAUAUGUUCGUAAUGGAACGCUCAGAGAACACUUGGAUUGCGUCCAUGGGAAAGUACUUGAUCUUGCUUUGCGCCUAGAUAUUGCAAUCGAUGUGGCUCAUGCAGUUACCUAUCUUCACACGUAUACAGAUCACCCAAUUAUUCAUAGGGAUAUAAAGUCAUCCAACAUUCUCCUCACUGAAAACUUUAGAGCCAAGGUCGCUGAUUUUGGUUUUGCAAGAAUGGGAGCCGACAGUGAUUCAGGUGCCACACAUGUGUCCACUCAAGUGAAAGGAACUGCUGGCUACUUGGAUCCAGAAUACCUGAAGACCUAUCAACUUACUGAGAAGAGUGAUGUUUUUUCAUUUGGCGUGCUGCUUGUUGAACUAGUAACUGGCAGGCGGCCUAUUGAACCAAAAAGGGAACUCAAGGAGCGGAUAACUGCAAGAUGGGCUAUGAAGAAGUUCGCUGAGGACGAUUCAAUUUCAAUCUUGGACCCAAGGCUGGAACGUACUGCUGCAAAUAACUUGCUCCUUGAAAAGAUUCUUGAAUUGGCCUUGCAGUGUUUGGCCCCACACAGACAAAGCCGGCCAGGCAUGAAGAAAUGUGCGGAGAUUCUAUGGUGUAUCCGCAAGGAUUGCAAAGAACUAUCAGAUUCAGAUUUUCAUUCACUUUCCUCAAAUUCAAGGAGCUAUUCAGUGAGCGAAGAAUAAGGAAAUCACUAGAUGAGAUCUGGAAUCCAAAUUGCAAAUGGUGAAGUUAAGCUUAAUGGGUAGAAACGAAAGUGAAAGCCCAUUGCUUCUUAAUUGAAUAUGAAUUGAUUUGAGAGUAUUUGUGCGGGUUCAAGAUGGAAAGGAGCCAAAAAAAUUCCUUUCUAUAAGUGAAGAUAGCAGCUUUGAUAGGAUUCUACCAGUUGCAAGAUAAUAGAAGGAACAUGGUCAUGAAAUUAGGUUUUAUAUAGGAAUUUGUCUGGGGUGGAGACUGGAGAAGUUCCUUGCUUCUGCCUGAUUGUGUCUUCAUUAAAUUUUCAUCUUUGGUUCCUUUCCCCUUCAAUUCAUUUUGUAGUUGUUCAGCAUCACUGAAAUGAGGACUUAUAAAAGCCAGCUUAUAUAUUUUGUGCGAGCACUGUCUGAAGAUCGGGAAAUUGUACAAAUGAUUUUAACAAUUUUUUUCAUAUGAAGGGUAUGUAAAUAGAAUUCCUUGUCUGUCAAAUGUUAAGUGCAUGUAAACAGAAUUCCCUUGUCUGUCAAAUGUGUUUCCCUCUUUGACA